ACAUAUCCUGUAAAAGAACAAGCUGUUAAUGAAUAUCUAGGCAAGUGUCAAUCCACUCAGAAUUUUAUAGCAUUCAUUCAAACGAACUGCUUGUUAUUUUAAAGAUGCUCAGACUCUCGAUUGUCAUUGCGGCUUUUUGUAUUUAUCUCUCCCUGGCUGACUACUCAGGAUACAGCACUGGCGAAGUAGCCCCUCAACCUUGCCCGCAGAACUAUGAAUGUCCUGACGUCUAUGCGCCAGUGUGUGGUACAAACGGCGUGACCUACAGUAGCGGCUGUGAGCUGAUCAAAAAGACCUGUGGACGUGUACAGGUCAGCUACAAUGGCCAGUGUGGGAAUCCAAGUGGGCCUUCUGAUGCGUGAAGCUAACUGUGUAGCGUUUCCAGAUUGAAAAAAAACAUUGACAUGAGAAUGUUCUGGGAAGUAUGCUGGAUGAUAUCAGAAAGUAUGGCACAUCAUUGAGUUCUCUACGUAGUAAUACAACAUAGUCAUCGAUUUUUUAUUUUUUGGAAUAACAUCUGUAUUUCAUACUGUGAACUAGUUAGGUUACGUCAUGUGUACAUUCUUUUAAGCUGGAGAUUAAAGUUAUUAAAACGGUCUCUUUCAAAUUAUAAAAA